rnacentral:rRNA from 1 species
ACGGAAGGCAGCAGUGAGGAAUAUUGGUCAAUGGACGCAAGUCUGAACCAGCCAUGCCGCGUGCAGGAAUAAGGCCCUAUGGGUCGUAAACUGCUUUUGUGGUGGAGCAAUAAGUCGUACGUGUACGGCGAUGAGAGUACAUCACGAAUAAGCAUCGGCUAACUCCGUGCCAGCAGCCGCGGUAAUACGGAGGAUGCAAGCGUUAUCCGGAUUUAUUGGGUUUAAAGGGUGCGUAGGCUGUGGUCCAAGUCAGGGGUGAAAGCCCGGAGCUCAACUCCGGAACUGCCUUUGAUACUGGAUUGAUGGAAUACGGAUGCCGUGGGAGGAAUGAGUAGUGUAGCGGUGAAAUGCAUAGAUAUUACUCAGAACACCGAUUGCGAAGGCAUCUCACGAAUCCGUCAUUGACGCUGAGGCACGAAAGCGUGGGGAUCAAACAGGAUUAGAUACCCUGGUA